rnacentral:rRNA from 1 species
AACGUAGGGGACAAACGUUAUCCGGAGUUACUGGGCGUAAAGGGCGUGUAGGUGGUUUCGUAAGUCUGGCGUGAAAUUUCUCGGCUUAACCGAGGCAGGUCGUCGGAUACUGCGGAACUUGAGGACGGUAGAGGCGUGUGGAAUUCCGGGUGUAGUGGUGAAAUGCGUAGAGAUCCGGAGGAACACCAGUGGCGAAGGCGACACGCUGGGCCGUACCUGACACUGAUGCGCGACAGCAUGGGGAGCAAACAGG